GAUGAACGCUGGCGGCGUGCCUAAUACAUGCAAGUCGAGCGAACAGACGAGGAGCUUGCUCCUCUGACGUUAGCGGCGGACGGGUGAGUAACACGUGGAUAACCUACCUAUAAGACUGGGAUAACUUCGGGAAACCGGAGCUAAUACCGGAUAAUCUAUUGAACCGCAUGGUUCAAUAGUGAAAGACGGUUUUGCUGUCACUUAUAGAUGGAUCCGCGCCGCAUUAGCUAGUUGGUAAGGUAACGGCUUACCUAGGCAACGAUGCGUAGCCGACCUGAGAGGGUGAUCGGCCACACUGGAACUGAGACACGGUCCAGACUCCUACGGGAGGCAGCAGUAGGGAAUCUUGCGCAAUGGGCGAAAGCCUGACGGAGCAACGCCGCGUGUAUGAUGAAGGUCUUCGGAUCGUAAAACUCUGUUAUUGGGGAAGAACAAAGGUGUAAGUAACUAUGCACGUCUUGACGGUACCUGAUCAAGAAGCCACGGCUAACUACGUG
rnacentral:rRNA from 1 species